UCGCUACUACCGAUUGGAUGGUUUAGUGAGGCUCACGGACUGCCGCGGAAGGAGGGUUCGCUCUUCUCCUGCGAUUGGAAGUGAAACAAACUUGAUCAUCUAGAGGAAGUAA
rnacentral:rRNA from 1 species